rnacentral:tRNA from 1 species
ACAGUGGUGGUUCAGGGGUAGAAUUUCCAUCUUCCACGCAGGAGAGCAGGGUUCGAUUCCCAGCCGAUGUA